ACUAGUGGUCUACAGGUCUCCGCAAAGUCGUAAGACCAUGUAUGGGGGCUGACGCCUGCCCAGUGCCGGAAGGUCAAGGAAGUUGGUGAACUGAUGACAGGGAAGCCGGCGACCGAAGCCCCGGUGAACGGCGGCCGUANUCAAGGAAGUUGGUGAACUGAUGACAGGGAAGCCGGCGACCGAAGCCCCGGUGAACGGCGGCCGUAACUAUAACGGUCCUAAGGUAGCGAAAUUCCUUGUCGGGUAAGUUCUGACCCGCACGAAAGGCGUAA
rnacentral:ncRNA from 1 species